CAAUAGCGUAUAUUAAAGUUGUUGCAGUUAAAAAGCUCGUAGUUGGAUUUCUGAUCGAGACAUCAGGUCGGGUCCGAGAGGAUCAUGUACUUUGAUUUUGUUUUGAUCAUCCUUGGGGAGAGCAUUUCUGGCAUUCAGUUGUCGGGAUUGGGAUCCUCAUCGUUUACUGUGAAAAAAUUAGAGUGUUCAAAGCAGGCCUCGGCCUCUGAAUACAUUAGCAUGGAAUAAUAAGAUAGGACUUUGGUGGUCUAUUUUGUUGGUUUGCACGCCAAAGUAAUGAUUAAUAGGGAUAGUUGGGGGUAUUCGUAUUCAAUUGUCAGAGGUGAAAUUCUUGGAUUUAUGGAAGACGAACUACUGCGAAAGCAUUUGCCAAGGAUGUUUUCAUUAA
rnacentral:rRNA from 1 species